rnacentral:rRNA from 1 species
GACGAACGCUGGCGGCGUGCUUAACACAUGCAAGUCGAACGGAAAGGCCCUGCUUGCAGGGUACUCGAGUGGCGAACGGGUGAGUAACACGUGGGUGAUCUGCCCUGCACUUCGGGAUAAGCCUGGGAAACUGGGUCUAAUACCGGCUAGGAGCCAUUUUUAGUGUGAUGGUUGGAAAGUUUUUUCGGUGUUGGAUGAGCUCGCGGCCUAUCAGCUUGUUGGUGGGGUAAUGGCCUACCAAGGCGGCGACGGGUAGCCGGCCUGAGAGGGGGGACGGGCACAAUAGGACUGAGAGAGGGCCCAGACUCCUACCGGAGGCAGCAGUCGGGAAUAUUGCACAAUGGGCGCAAGCCUGAUGCAGCGACGCCGCGUGGGGGAUGACGGCCUUCGGGUUGUAAACUCCUUUCGCUAGGGACGAAGCUUUUUGUGACGGUACCUAGAUAAGAAGCAACGGCUAACUACGUG